rnacentral:misc_RNA from 1 species
UUAAGUUCAGCGGGUAUUCCUACCUGAUCCGAGGUCAACCUUGUAAAAGUCGGGGGUUUUACGGCGUGGCCGCGCCGCUCUCCGCCUGCGAGGUUGUGUUACUGCGCAGAGGAGGCUACGGCGAGACCGCCACUCUAUUUCGGGGACGCCCGCCGCGAGGGACGGGCGAUCCCCAACACCGAUCCCGCCACGAAUGGAGG